GCGCCCGUAGCUCAGCUGGAUAGAGUGCCACCCUCCGAAGGUGGAUGUCGGAUGUUCGAAUCAUCUCGGGCGCA
rnacentral:tRNA from 3 species